rnacentral:rRNA from 1 species
CCUACGGGUGGCAGCAGUCGAGAAUCAUUCACAAUGGGGGAAACCCUGAUGGUGCGACGCCGCGUGGGGGAAUGAUGGUCUUCGGAUUGUAAACCCCUUUCAUGUGGGAGCAAAUUAAAAAGAUAGUACCACAAGAGGAAGAGACGGCUAACUCUGUGCCAGCAGCCGCGGUAAUACAGAGGUCUCAAGCGUUGUUCGUAAUCACUGGGGGUAAAGGGUGCGUAGGCGGUAUCGUAAGUCGUGUGUGAAAGGCGCGGGCUCAACCCGCGGACGGCACAUGAUACUGCGAGACUAGAGUAAUGGAGGGGGAACCGGAAUUCGCGGUGUAGCAGUGAAAUGCGUAGAUAUCGAGAGGAACACUCGUGGCGAAGGCGGGUUCCUGGACAUUAACUGACGCUGAGGCACGAAGGCCAGGGGAGCGAAAGGGAUUAGAUACCCUGGUAGUC